UCUCACCUGCAGCUGCCUUUCCACCAACUACACCGUGGACUCCACUGUCAUCGCCUACGUAGAGAAACUGGACAAGGGAGGCUAACCGCUCCAAGUUCGCGAGAAUCCCGGGCAAUAUGCGGACGAGAUUCUCGUAUUGUGCGACAUCACCGCGGAAUUGCCGCAAGGCGUAGACCCGGAUGACAUGCCGAAAGACGACUGCGAGCUGCUAGAGCAGGACGAGAACGUUGAACCUUGUCUGCCCGUGCAGCCCACGACCAAAGCCCCUCCCACUGGGACCGUCACACCUCCCGAAGUGUUUCCUGAGUCCGAUAGCGAAGAGAAGAGCGAACAAGAUGUCCCUUAUGACAGGCUGGAUGCUGGUGCAGUUGAGGACGAAGAUGAAGACGAUGAUUCCGGAAGUGCUGCCGUGCACAUGCGCUACGUCACGCUGCUGAUCUCCUUCCUGUGUGCCGUGCUUCUCUUAUCCUAAUCUGCGCUUACUGUAUCUUUUUUAUAAUUAACCUCUCCAUAGCAGAAUUAAACUAAUAAAUCUACAAUGAAAAUUUUUAUAUGAGUAACAAAUAUUCACAGUAUGGCAUCUCUCUGUGACAAAUUUCCAGCAAAAUGUAGUGAACUACCAUUAACUGACGAAAAACUGAAUAUGUAAAAAAAAAAAAAAAAACAGAACAAAAACAAGGAAUCCAACAGAAGUGAUAUUGUUAAGAUUUGUUGUACUUUCACAUGCUGGUGGUUAUUUACUUUCAGUCACUUAUAACAAGGUAACUGGCUUGAAAACAAUCAGUAUAUUGUCAGGGCAUUUUGCUGUACAAAAAAAUCAUAAGAUAUAUUUGAAAAGUUAAUCAUUUGAUAAAAGUGAGCUUUGUAAGUGAAGGCGACAGAUGUUUUUGUUUUGUACCUGUCGCUCUCAAAACAUCUAAUGCAAACAGGUUCAUGAUAUGCUUAAUUUCAGCAUUAUUCUAGAGUUCUAGCGGAUUGGACAUAAUCAGCACAGGACAAACACUGGCAUCCACAUAUUUGUUCCAAAGGAAACGGGGCUUAGUCUUGACCUUUCUCGUUAUGGUAUUGUUUCUGGAUUAAAAUAUAACUCAUGCUACCAGCGGUCAUCACGAUACUUGUCAUCAUUUUUUUUUAUUAUUAUUUACCUAGUGUUUCCCAUUCUGUAGUUGUGUUUUAACUGUAUCUGCCUUUGAGUUAUUAGAGGAUUAAGGUUUCAGAAUUAGAAAAUUUCUCCUUACAAUUUAUCAUGUAGUGUUCUGUAGGGAUCUUUACCAGUGGCUGUGCUUCACUUGACCGUAGAGUUUAAUUUCAUCUGUUUGUUUGGUUUUUUUUUUAGCUUUUGUGAUUUUAAGCUAAUUGGAAAAUGUAUUUAUUUGAUUUAGAACUUAACUUAUUAACAUCAUCAUGUCGUCUGCUUUGUACAUUUCACCUGUAGAUUGAGUUGAUAGUCACAUUUUGUAACCCCUGAUAUUUUUAACGUGUCUGUACAUUCAUGGUUUUACUAUUUCUUUCUCAUUAAUGUCUUAGUCCUAAGAAUUUUGUUUCCUAUCAUCAUAUAGAAAGGAGAUAAUGUCACUGGGAAUCGUAUACCGUAAUAUUCACGAUCGCCAUCAAUCUGCAUUCCGUUACUAUUUAUGUGGAGGCAAGCAACCUGUUUUUUUUUCCUUCUUUAAAAAAAAUAAUCAGGGGUUUUGUGAUGUGUAAGCUUGAUUGUGUUGUAAAUUUUUACUUAUAUUAUAGCGCUUUUGUCGGCUGGAGGUACACACUCUCCCUCAGUUCACCGAGAAGCCCGUCAGACUAUAGAUUGCUUAGCACACUAUGACAUGCGAAGCAAUAGACUUUUUUUUUUUUUGAAUUAGUGGGUCUGUUGCUCUUGUCAUCGAGUGUCGUUGGAUUGCAGUUUUUUUUAUAUUUAUUCUUUGAACAUCCCUGUUAUUUGUAGAAUUUACCAAAUGUUUGACGAUGAAGAGUUUGUGUACCUUUCUGACCCUUGAACUUGCGCAAAGAUUUCUGUGUGUGUGACAUGCAGGUGUUUGUUUUUUUUUAAUUAAGAAAUGAUUUACAUUUUGUUCUUCAUCAUUGCAGUAUUUUGUCAGACGUAUUGACGAUUCAAUUUUACUUCAGUUAUUUUUGAACGUGUGUAAGAUGUCUGCAAGAAUGGCGAACUUAGCCGAACGAUUCAUACAAAUAAAUAAUUCUGUAUUCGUCGUUAACCUUUGUACCAGUCAUUUCCGUUUCUUGCUGGGUAACCUCUCCCCUUGAUCAGGCUAUGUAUAAUUUCAUUGCUUCUUAUUAGUUUAAAUCCCUUAACUCGUUGAUCUCUCUCUUUUUUAUUACUUUUUAAUUGUUCCCAAAGAGGUGAUUCUUGUUUGGCGAAGUUGAACACUAGAAUGCGUCUAGUACAAAAAAUUGGGACGUUGUUGAGUGCAAGAGCGGUUUGCAAUGGAAGUGAACGAUUUGUGUAAGAACGUGUAGCAACCUGUGGAAGUCUUUUGUAGUUUAACAUAGCGACCGUUGGGUCUAGCAGUUUGAAGUCCUAACAUGGUGGAUGUAACAGUGUCGCAAACCUGUAAUCGUACGCUGGUUUGUGAAUUUUGGGGCUUAGUAACAGCCAGGAGCGAAGACUUUUGCUUGAACUGGCCAUGGCAAUUGGUGGGAGAUGGUUCAUUGUCUACCUGGUGACAUGGUACUACGGCGCGAGCACACACACACACAAGCAGAUGAUUCAUACUUCCUGAUUUCAUUAUUUAACUUUAAUUUGUGCGAUGUUUCACAUUUUCUUUGUAAUCAAGCUACAAGACAGCGUGCCUUUUUGGGGUCGAAUAAUUAUUUUAGGGACAGUCCAUAACGCUAAUAUUUCUUAAUUUUGUUAAAGUGUCCCAAUUUUUAAAAAAAUCGCCAUAAGAAAGUGGUUCUUUAAAAGUACAAUGGUAAAUUCAAAUUCUCUAGUCCGAUAAUGCAAGCUGAGGUUUGAUUCUGCCACUUAAUGCCUUAGAAUUAAUAACGAAUAUUAGAAAUUGUGUUUUAUUGACCUCUAACUUUGUUGAAUCGAAUGGCAUAUUUGUUGACAUAUAACACUAAAGUCUUUAAUGCGAAUGUUUCUCAGAGUUUGUUAUAUCAUCUGUUUGAACACAUAAAAUGGGAGUAAAUUACAGAAAUUUUUGGAGAGAAAACUGUGAUUCUGUGUUUGACAUGUUAGGGCCGAUCAUUCAACUCCUUAAACACAUGGUUGGUGUUAGUUGUUUCCGGUGUUUUUGUCACAUUUACUAUAGCUAUCGAAGUUUUAGCAAAAGUUAUGUUAGACGAAAAGCAAACAAAGAAAUCCUAACAUAAUUCAUGAGGAAAAUGUGCGAUCUGAGAAAAAGUGAAGUUUGAAGGCGAAACAGGGAUGUAUAUCCUUUCGCUGUAGAGUUUUUGUUUUAUGUUUUUGAUGUAUCAGGAAUGAAUGUUUAGUCCGAGGAGGAUGGACGAUUCUGGUUAUGCUUCAGUAAAUUUCACCCUCUAGGUUUGUUUCUCCCGCUUGCCUCGUUUCUUCUAUUGCAAUAUACAAAUAUUGCUGACGAGAAAUUCCCGCAGUUUUAUUGUGUAUUGUGUUUGGUCAUAAAAAAUGAUUUUGAUUGAAA
rnacentral:lncRNA from 1 species